CGUGUAGGCGGUCGGGUAAGUCAGAUGUGAAAGCCUUCUGCUUAACGGAAGAAGUGCAUUUGAAACUGCUCGGCUGGAGUACGGGAGAGGAGAGUGGAAUUCCCGGUGUAGAGGUGAAAUUCGUAGAUAUCGGGAGGAACACCAGUGGCGAAGGCGGCUCUCUGGUCCGAUACUGACGCUGAGACACGAAAGCGUGGGGAGCAAACAGGAUUAGAUACCCUGGUAGUCCACGCCGUAAACGAUGGGCACUAGGUGUAGGAGGUAUUGACCCCUUCUGUGCCGCAGUUAACGCAUUAAGUCGCCCCGCCUGGGGAGUACGGCCGCAAGGCUAAA
rnacentral:rRNA from 1 species